ACGGAAGGCAGCAGUGGGGAAUAUUGGACAAUGGGGGAAACCCUGAUCCAGCGACGCCGCGUGAGUGUAGAAGUAUUUCGGUAUGUAAAGCUCUAUCAGCAGGGAAGAUAAUGACGGUACCUGACUAAGAAGCCCCGGCUAACUACGUGCCAGCAGCCGCGGUAAUAUGUAGGGGGCAAGCGUUAUCCGGAUUUACUGGGUGUAAAGGGAGCGUAGACGGCAUGGCAAGUCUGAUGUGAAAACCCGGGGCUCAACCCCGGGACUGCAUUGGAAACUGUCAGGCUAGAGUGCAGGAGAGGUAAGUGGAAUUCCUAGUGUAGCGGUGAAAUGCGUAGAUAUUAGGAGGAACACCAGUGGCGAAGGCGGCUUACUGGACUGUAACUGACGUUGAGGCUCGAAAGCGUGGGGAGCAAACAGGAUUAGAUACCCUGGUA
rnacentral:rRNA from 1 species